AUGGACGCACUGCUGCUGAUACACACUGUCUCCUGUGUUUCUCGCUUCUUGCCGUUCCUCUUGGCUUUCCCAGUGGUACUCCUUGUUUUGGGCUUCCUAAUUGUGGCAUUCACAACCCUGGCUAUUGUGCUCCAGUCCCCUGAUCCCACCCUUAGCCCCCUGAAGAGCUGGAAGCCGCGAUGGAGGAGCCUGGGAGAGCCACACGUCCCACCGGAAUACGUGUUAGUUAAAGACAGCCUUCAGUUCUGUCCCGUGCUUGGUCCACGUGGUUCUGGAGAAGGUGCAGGCCUUGGCGAGAAAGGAGCUGCCCGGAAUGCAGAAGAGCAUUUUGCGCUGAGAGAUCUGGAGGAUUUCAGCGUUCGCACCAUGUAUGAUAAGCUAGAAGACCAGAAUUUACACCUAGCCUCUCAGCUGGCAAAGCACAGGAUGGAUGUGUUGGUGUUUUACAAAGGAGUCAGCCAGCAGCUUCGAGGUCUCAUGGAUAUGGUGCAAGCACUGGAUUCUGAAGGCCUGAAUAACUUUGCCAGGCAAAGAGUUUGUGGACACAGAACUUCAGACAGCCUGGGCGCUGAAAAACGUGAUGACUCUAGCAACAACUUUCAAGCAGUAAUGCACACAGGUGCUCAGUGGCAAGAGGCUACAGAGUUAAUGAAAGCAUUGAAAUUCCUGCUUGGGAGAGCUCAGCCUAAGAACGCAACUGUGAAACGAGAGAUGGAGGAGCAGGUCCCAGGACAGGAUGUGGUGGCGGGGUCCACGCGAACGAGUGAAGGAAAAGCAGAAGUGAUGGAUGGGCAGGAUCCUGACCUGCCUCCACAGUGUGAGCUCUGCAGUAGGAAACCUACUUUUUUUAGCUUCCCUGGGCACGAAGAGACUGGUAAGGAUGGUAAUUUAAUUAUGGGUGGCAUGGAUACUCUCCAGAAACCACAGCAGAAGACUGACUCGGUGAAGCUUAGGUUAAGAGAGAAUCGUAUGUUUGCAGACAGAGUAAGCAUGUAA
rnacentral:lncRNA from 1 species